rnacentral:rRNA from 1 species
UCGCGUCCUGUUUUGCCGGUACCUUUCGAAUAAGCACCGGCUAACUCCGUGCCAGCAGCCGCGGUAAUACGGAGGGUGCAAGCGUUGUCCGGAUUUAUUGGGUUUAAAGGGUGCGUAGGUGGUUUGGUAAGUCUGGUUUGAAAGUCAGCCGCUUAACGGUUGAGGUGGCUGGAUACUGCUGAACUUGAAUUUUCCGGAGGCAGGCGGAACGGGUUGUGUAGCGGUGAAAUGCAUAGAUAUGACCCAGAACACCGAUUGCGAAGGCAGCCUGCUACGGAUGGAUUGACACUGAGGCACGAGAGCAUGGGGAGCAAACAGGAUUAGAUACCCUGGUAG